rnacentral:rRNA from 1 species
GAUGAACGCUGGCGGCGUGCCUAAUACAUGCAAGUCGAGCGAACAGAUGAGGAGCUUGCUCCUCUGACGUUAGCGGCGGACGGGUGAGUAACACGUGGAUAACCUACCUAUAAGACUGUGAUAACUUCGGGAAACCGGAGCUAAUACCGGAUAAUAUAUUGAACCGCAUGGUUCAAUAGUGAAAGACGGUUUUGCUGUCACUUAUAGAUGGAUCCGCGCCGCAUUAGCUAGUUGGUAAGGUAACGGCUUACCAAGGCAACGAUGCGUAGCCGACCUGAGAGGGUGAUCGGCCACACUGGAACUGAGACACGGUCCAGACUCCUACGGGAGGCAGCAGUAGGGAAUCUUCCGCAAUGGGCGAAAGCCUGACGGAGCAACGCCGCGUGAGUGAUGAAGGUCUUCGGAUCGUAAAACUCUGUUAUUAGGGAAGAACAAAUGUGUAAGUAACGAUGCACGUCUUGACGGUACCGAAUCAGAAAGCCACGGCUAACUACGU